rnacentral:rRNA from 1 species
UGCGUAGGUGGUUGUUUAAGUCUGUCGUGAAAGCCCUGGGCUCAACCUGGGAAUUGCGCUUGUGACUGCAGUGCUGGAGUACGGCAGAGGGGGAUGGAAUUCCGCGUGUAGCAGUGAAAUGCGUAGAUAUGCGGAGGAACACCGAUGGCGAAGGCAGUCCCCUGGGCCUGUACUGACGCUCAUGCACGAAAGCGUGGGGAGCAAACA